rnacentral:lncRNA from 1 species
GCCGUGACAUCCGGGCGCAUCGCUGUUGUCGGGACCAAAGUGUUCGAGUUAUCACCUUUGCCGAUAGUAAGGUCAAAUCGGCUGGCACGCCUUAACGUUUGAAUCGGGUAUUAGCUCUUUGUGUUUGCAGAUCAACUUUUGCACCAACAAAAGUGACACUUAACAACCAUCAACAAGCUUCCCCGCACUUUGACUUUUACUCGUCCUUGAGAAAAGGUUGGGCCACUGUAACCAUAACUUUAGGACAAGUUGUCAAUAUAAAACCAUUCAUAGUCAUACCUAUAUUGAGGGAUUUAAUGUGUCUACCAUAAAACUUUAGGCGGUUGAAAAAUUAAAGAGCUUGACAUAGAUUACAUUUUUCCUUCAGCCAUGCCAAUUGGAGUUUUUGCAUAAGUUUUAAAAAACAUAGCUUAGCUUCUCCUUCAUGUAGUACUCUCAAAUCACUCAUAUAUGUAGUAUUUUUGGAUCCUCACUAAGGCAUUGAAUGAUUUAUGCCUUCUUUUCAUCCUAACUCUAAUAAGCUUAUAUGGAGUUUAUAGGUAAUUCAAGGAUGUGGCAUACUUAUCUUGCAUAUGUCGCUAAGUCAAAACUCAGAUACAUGGAGAGGAAUGUCAUAUUCUUAGAUCAAGAUGUGCAUGUGUGAUAUAUAUAUAUAUAUAUAUAUAUAUAUAUAUAUAUAUAUAUAUAUAUAUAUAUAUAUAUAUAUAUAUAUAUAUAUAUUAUGUGUAUGUAGUGGCUAUCCUAAUUAUACUUUGCUGCUUGAUAACAUGUCUUCCUAUUUUGAAAUAUUAAAGAACUUUACUUAGAGAGCAUGGGAAAUCUUUUUCUUCUCUCUUUUUUUCAAUUCUUUUCUUUGGACACUCUUCCCUUUUUUAUUUUUCUUUUUACAUAGCCAUAUGCCUUCUCUUUGCAACUAGGAAAUUUUUGAGAAAGAUAGUUACAAAAACUUGGAGCAUUUAUUCCUAACAAAUUUCUUUUUGUGUUUUCUCCUAGUGUAGGAGUAAAACAUUAAGUGGAUGAAAAAACAUGUUUUUGCGUACUCCCAAUGUAGGAGAAGCAGAUAUAUGUGGGUGUAUGUGGUCUUGAUCUUAGGAGUAUGAUAAACCUCUCAACACAGGUUAACAAGGUUUGACAAAACUCAAUACAAAGCCAGUAGCUUAUGAGCUAGUUUUCAAUAUGUAAAUUAUGUAUGGCUCUAGUGGGAUAAUUUUUACUACAGAGGAGAAGCAUAGCUAUUAAUUUUAAAAUUUAAAAUUAAAUUAUCCAAUGAUUAGACCUCAAGAAUCAUGUUCUCAUUAUUCUUGCUACAUCACAUUUCACAACAACUUAAGUGACACAUGGUCCCUAAAAUAAGUUCCCAAUAAUAGCAAGGUGUCUAGGAAAAGUGUUAUGUGGAUCUAUCCUCAAGUCAUGAUAGCACUCGUCGCCCCAUGCAGGAGAGAGGCGCGGUGAGGGGAGGGGAGGGGGGAACGCUGGUGGGAGAGAGGGGCGCCGGUAGCGGAGGGAGACACAGAGAGGAGAGGGGAGGGAGCGCGUCGACCUUGGCACUCGACUUCACGAGAGAGAUAAGGGUGCAAUGGCUCAGAGAGAGAGAGGAGUGCGAGUGCGGCUGGCGACUCAGAGAGAGAGAGAGAGUGGGUAGUC